CUCUCAAAUAAACACACUCACCCAUUCCAAGAAUGAUUUCACUUACAAUAUUCUUUACACUUCUGAUCUAUCAAAUACGCUCUUCAUAAUAUUCUAACUACUACUAGAACUCGGCAAGAACCACUUGGUGAGAUCCCUAGGCUAUUGCAGCGAAUCCAGGUUCAACAAGAAUAGUGAACAUGUUACUUUUAGAUGUCAACCAUCCUUUCAAUGCCUUAACCACAUCUUCAUCUUUCUUGAUUAUCAGACUGUCUUCUACUCUGCACCUUUUCAUCUUUUACAAUUUAAACAAUCAAGUUACUAGAGUACACUUCUUCACCUUUUUCCCAAAAGGUUUUCAACUUGCCAAACUGUUAUGAGCGAUGCUCAAACACUUGGUAGAGUAUCAUUGUAGGCCAUCAGUGACGGGUCUUCUUCCUAAUACUUCUUUCCUCGACAUCCUAAUUGAGCUCGGUAACUAGAUAGCAAAUCUCACUCUGCAAUCGCAAAUGCAUCGGAUGUCGAAACUCAACACGAGUCCGAAGCUGACUCUACAACUCAACCGGAACAUCCGGAAAAUAGCGUUGACCCGGCCAUGAUCGACACGGUCAAGGCGAUCAGCGCAACGUCUACCGCCGAGUAAAAACGCUCGCGGCAUGAAACAGAACUACGANNNNNNNNNNNNNNNNNNNNNNNNNNNNNNNNNNUAAAGUUAAAAUUCGAAGAUAAUACGAACAAAUUGUCUGAACGCGACCACCAAAACCUUACACCCCGUUCGUCGAUUGGCCCCGACGAACACGCCAGCCGUCUUUUCAAACACAAUUCGAUCACUCUUUUUGAUCUUCAAAACGUCCAACACAAGGACGAAAGCGCGCUACAACAAAAAUCCGAAAUUUUGGUUUAGCACUUCCAGUUGGCUUAAAAAUUGCCUCUGAGAAGAUGCUCGAUUCGUACCAUACAAGUCAUAUAAGCCGAGAACGUAUCACGGACUUUAAAUCGGUACGAGUCAGGAAGAAAUAGCAACAGAAAAAACGAUAGUCGGCUAGUCACCGCACAAACCUUAAACCGAAAGUAAACCUAGGUCUUGCCCUAAACCCAACGCUCUGGUCUCUAACAAUUCAAGGCAUGAUAUCUAAAAAUUGAUACGAGAUCUUAAAACCAUGUCUCGCCGUUCGUUUCUAAACGUUCACAAAAUUCUGCAUCUUUUACGAACAGACGAAAGAACGCUACACUAUGAGUUAGGUAUGAGACGACAACUCAUAUUCCUUUCUCUCGACAAUUUAAAAACAUACGCAAACUGAAAUUCUUGAAACAUCCAUCAUAUAUAUAACCGCGUAAAGCGGUAAGGGAUUCAAAGCCACCAACGGCCAGUCCCGAUAAGCAAUAAAAACGGCCAAAACAGGCCCAUACAAUCUCUGAAAUGAAGGCCACAUUCGGCCACAAACAUAGAAUGGAAAGACAAGCAUCUCCCUCUGAAUAAUCACUCCACCUCUCAUGGCCCAAAGUCAAAGUUCCCGGACAACGAAGCACCGAACGCAUCCGCAGGACGAUCCACUUCCUCGCCACCAUCACGAAACCCGGUC
rnacentral:lncRNA from 1 species